CGCAGGCGGUCUGUCAAGUCGGAUGUGAAAUCCCCGGGCUCAACCUGGGAACUGCAUUCGAAACUGGCAGGCUUGAGUCUUGUAGAGGGGGGUAGAAUUCCAGGUGUAGCGGUGAAAUGCGUAGAGAUCUGGAGGAAUACCGGUGGCGAAGGCGGCCCCCUGGACAAAGACUGACGCUCAGGUGCGAAAGCGUGGGGAGCAAACAGGAUUAGAUACCCUGGUAGUCCACGCCGUAAACGAUGUCUACUUGGAGGUUGUGCCCUUGAGGCGUGGCUUCCGGAGCUAACGCGUUAAGUAGACCGCCUGGGGAGUACG
rnacentral:rRNA from 1 species